AUUGAACGCUGGCGGCAGGCCUAACACAUGCAAGUCGAGCGGAUGAAGGGAGCUUGCUCUCUGAUUCAGCGGCGGACGGGUGAGUAAUGCCUAGGAAUCUGCCUGGUAGUGGGGGACAAC
rnacentral:rRNA from 1 species